rnacentral:rRNA from 1 species
AUCUACGGCCAUUCCACCCUGAACAAGCCCGAUGUCUGAUCUCAGAAGCUAAGCAGGGUCAGGCCUGGUUAGUACUUGGAUGGGACACCACCUAGGAAGACCAGGUGCAAUAGGCA